ensembl:lncRNA
CGCCUUUUUGUUGUUGUUGUUGUGCUAAGCUAAUAGGCAGAAUGCUACAGGUAUAGCUCUAAAGAAUGUAGCCUCAUGGGCAGUGUAGUCCGUGCUGCAGGGAGAAUGGACUACCAUACACGUUAUGUGUCUGUGAGCGAGGGAGGGAGAAAAAGGAAAAGUACGAGUUAUCAUCGAGCAGAAACGGGAGCUGGAAGCAUGUAAAUAUAAUAAUAACCACUGCAGCCAAGAAGAGUGCCUGACGAGCCCAGUUUGAACGGAGGACGUGCCAGUGGCCCUGGGACCUCAGGUGGUGGGUCGUUUUCACACUUUCUUUUGUACAGCACCGGGUGGGCUGCAGUGAUUUUCGUUUUGUGUGAUUUUCUUUUGGGUCCACGGCUGCUGGUAAGUCCAAGUUCCAUGAUUGUUUUAUUUUCACGUUAAGACACUGUCAACAAUGACGCUACAUUUUGGUUUCUAAUAUUUUAUUUAUUUUUAUUAUAAAUAAAACUGUUUUAAUAUUGGAGCCAACCUGCCUCGCAGUGCAUCCUUGAAUCUGUGCGGCCUCUUUUUAUUCCUUUUAUCUAUUUUUCUUAAAUAUAUUUCCUUGGGGUGAAAUUCCCCUAGGUGGCGUUGUCAUUUUAUUUCCUUUUAUCUAACCCCGCCGACCACUUGGUCACAUGAGGAGCAGGAUUUUGAAUUCAAUUCUGGAUUUAACAGGAAGCCAAUGAAGGGAAGCCAAAACAGGAGAAAUCUGCUCUCUCUUUCUAGUCCCUGUCAGGACUCUUGCUGCAGCAUUUUGGAUUAACUGAAGGCUUUUCAGCGAGUUUUUAGGACAUCCUGAUAAUAAUGAAUUACAGUCGUCCAGCCUGGAAGUAAUAAAUGCAUGAACUAGUUUUUCAGCGUCACUCUGAGACAGGAUAUUUCUAAUUUUAGAGAUGUUGCACAAAUGGAAGAAAGCGGUCUUACAUAUUUGUUUAAUAUGUGCGCUGAAGGACAUGUCCUGGUCAAAAAUGACUCCAAGGUUCCUCACAGUGUUACUGGAGGCCAAGGUAAUGCCAUCCAGAGUAAGAAUCUGGUUAGAUACUGUGGUCGCAAAUUUUGAAGCCAUCCUUAUAACCUUCUCCCACCAACAAUGUGGAGAUCCAACCCUUUUAGAUCCAAUUAAAAUCAAGACACUCAAAAAGAUGCUCUGGAAAAGAGCAGAAUUCUUAGAACAGAGUUUAAUACACUGAAUCAUAUGAACAGCAGGAAAAAUACAUACAGACAUUUAGCAAAACAAUUACAUAGCAGUAAGCAAGCCAAGCAAAACCCCGGGGUGUACAGCCUUAAGGACAGACAGUAGAGCAACACAGAGACAGACAGAGAGAAACAGCACAAGGGAAAAAAGUGCUGGGGAGUCCUCUGGUCCCCUAAUAUAUAGGGGACCAGCAUCCCCGCCCCCUGCUGCUGGGUAACUUUCUGACAGCAGUAAAUAAAAAAUCUCCCUGAGCUCAGUAUGUUUGUGACUCUGAGAUGGAGGUGAAAUCUGUGAACCUGAGCUGUGGUUUACUGCUCUCUUCCUGUCACAAACACUGUUUGACAUCUGUUCAUCUGUUGGUUUUUGUUCAGGCUGCAGGGAUCAUUUCUCACUGUGGGGAGCAGACUUAUAACAGGAGCAGUAGUAGGUGGCUGAAUGAUCGAGUUUAACUUGCUUAAUUUCUAACUCCCAGCCUUUAUUUGUAUUUACAGAAGAGAAGUCACUGAUCUGAGGAUGAGAUGAGUAACUUCUCUCUAUGUUACCGUUACUCCGAUCAAUAUCAAAAAUAACUUUGAAUGUUUCUGUUUCUUUUUUCUGGUACCAGUAUAUCCAGUCACGAUCGCACUGCUGAGUCCCUCCGCAGCUGAAGGAGACACUUUCUCCAACUCUCCUGGUC